GCGGGGAUAGCUCAGUUGGGAGAGCGUCAGACUGAAGUCGAACUUCAUUCCUGAAAUCUGAAGGUCGUGCGUUCGAUCCGCACUCACCGCA